rnacentral:rRNA from 1 species
AUAGUGGCGGACGGGUGAGUAACGCGUAGGAACCUACCAGGCAGUGGGGAAUAACAGCUGGAAACGGCUGCUAAUACCGCAUACGUCCCUUCGGGGAGAAAGAUUUAUCGCUGUUUGAGGGUCCUGCGUUCGAUUAGCUAGUUGGUGUGGUAACGGCGCACCAAGGCUACGAUCGAUAGCUGGUCUGAGAGGAUGAUCAGCCACACUGGGACUGAGACACGGCCCAG